GACGAACGCUGGCGGCGUGCUUAACACAUGCAAGUCGAACGGUGACGAGGAGCUUGCUCCUCUGAUCAGUGGCGAACGGGUGAGUAACACGUGAGCAACCUGCCCCAGACUCUGGGAUAACAGUUGGAAACAGCUGCUAAUACCGGAUACGAGACGGAGAGGCAUCUCUACCGUCUGGAAAGUUUUUCGGUCUGGGAUGGACUCGCGGCCUAUCAGCUAGUUGGUGAGGUAAUGGCUCACCAAGGCGACGACGGGUAGCCGGCCUGAGAGGGCGACCGGCCACACUGGGACUGAGACACGGCCCAGACUCCUACGGGAGGCAGCAGUGGGGAAUAUUGCACAAUGGGCGAAAGCCUGAUGCAGCGACGCCGC
rnacentral:rRNA from 1 species